AGCGAACGCUGGCGGCAGGCUUAACACAUGCAAGUCGAGCGGGCACCUUCGGGUGUCAGCGGCAGACGGGUGAGUAACACGUGGGAACGUACCCUUCGGUUCGGAAUAACGCUGGGAAACUAGCGCUAAUACCGGAUACGCCCUUAUGGGGAAAGGUUUACUGCCGAAGGAUCGGCCCGCGUCUGAUUAGCUAGUUGGCGGGGUAACGGCCUACCAAGGCGACGAUCAGUAGCUGGUCUGAGAGGAUGAUCAGCCACACUGGGACUGAGACACGGCCCAGACUCCUACGGGAGGCAGCAGUGGGGAAUAUUGGACAAUGGGCGCAAGCCUGAUCCAGCCAUGCCGCGUGAGUGAUGAAGGCCUUAGGGUUGUAAAGCUCUUUUGUCCGGGACGAUAAUGACGGUACCGGAAGAAUAAGCCCCGGCUAACUUCGUG
rnacentral:rRNA from 1 species